GCUCAUGGCCAAACCUCCUUGUCAAAGCCUGAUCUUGUCUCAUCUCAGAAGCAAAGCAGGUCCAGGCCUUGUUAGUAUUUGGAUGGGAGACUGCUGGAAAUCUCAGGUGCCACAGUGGGCU
rnacentral:rRNA from 1 species